rnacentral:rRNA from 1 species
AGAGUUUGAUCCUGGCUCAGGACGAACGCUGGCGGCGUGCCUAACACAUGCAAGUCGAACGGAGUUGAAAGGAGCUUGCUUUUUUCAACUCAGUGGCGGACGGGUGAGUAACGCGUGAGUAACCUGCCUUUCAGAGGGGGAUAACGUUCUGAAAAGAACGCUAAUACCGCAUAAGAUUGUAGCUUCGCAUGGAGCAGCAAUCAAAGGAGCAAUCCGCUGAAAGAUGGACUCGCGUCCGAUUAGAUAGUUGGCGGGGUAACGGCCCACCAAGUCGACGAUCGGUAGCCGGACUGAGAGGUUGAUCGGCCACAUUGGGACUGAGACACGGCCCAGACUCCUACGGGAGGCAGCAGUGAGGGAUAUUGGGCAAUGGGGGAAACCCUGACCCAGCAACGCCGCGUGAGGGAUGACGGUUUUCGGAUUGUAAACCUCUGUCCUCUGUGAAGAUAGUGACGGUAGCAGAGGAGGAAGCUCCGGCUAACUACGUGCCAGCAGCCGCGGUAAUACGUAGGGAGCAAGCGUUGUCCGGAUUUACUGGGUGUAAAGGGUGCGUAGGCGGAUUGGCAAGUCAGAAGUGAAAUCCAUGGGCUUAACCCAUGAACUGCUUUUGAAACUGUUAGUCUUGAGUGAAGUAGAGGUAGGCGGAAUUCCCGGUGUAGCGGUGAAAUGCGUAGAGAUCGGGAGGAACACCAGUGGCGAAGGCGGCCUACUGGGCUUUAACUGACGCUGAGGCACGAAAGUGUGGGUAGCAAACAGGAUUAGAUACCCUGGUAGUCCACACUGUAAACGAUGAUUACUAGGUGUUGGAGGAUUGACCCCUUCAGUGCCGCAGUUAACACAAUAAGUAAUCCACCUGGGGAGUACGACCGCAAGGUUGAAACUCAAAGGAAUUGACGGGGGCCCGCAC